GAAGACCUAGAAGGCUAAAAACUCUCUCUCUCUCUCUCUCUCUGUCUCUCUGGAGCAAUCGUAAGAUGGACGAGUACUUGCAGUACAUGAAGACUUUGCGCUCUCAGAUGAACGAUGUGGAGGAUCAAGCGGCGAAGAUUUCUGUCGAAGAGCAAAUGCAGUUAACCACUAUUCAAACCAUGGAAAACGAUCUCAAUUCUGCAAAAUCUGAAACAAAGCAACUUAAAGAAGAUACUGAGCUAAUGAUGAAGGCGAAGGGUCAAAUAUGCUCAAAGAUUUUGGAAAAACAGAGAAAGUUUGCCUCUCUGGAGUCUGAUUCAUCCUCGCUUACGCAGACAUUUGAGCUCAUUCAACAAGAAAGAGCCAACUUAUCUACCAAAUUAAUGGAGAAGAGCACUUACUACACCAAGGUUGCAGAGGAUAUGAAUGCCAAAUUACAGCAACAACAGGAUUGGGUCGAGUCUAAAAAACCUAGCAGAGAACUGGAAGAGCAUGAUUUGGUCAAUGUUAGAAUUGAUGAGGAAACAGGUCAAACUGAAGGGAAGGCUAGCAUUGACAGAGACCUCAUUAUGGACAAUCUGGGGAAUGGAGCAAAGAAGAACCUGAUGGUGAAAUUAAACUCUGCUAAAGCCAACCUCGAUGAGAUUUCACGAAUGAAAUUCCAACUUAUUAUGGAGAACAGCAAGGCGAAGCAGUUUCUUGAGCAAGUGAAGUGCAAGGCAAGUGGCUUUAAGCCAGAGCUAAGAGAAAUGGAUAUAAAGACCCUGGAAGAGGAACACAAUGCCCUUUUAUCAGAUAAAGCUGGAGAAACUGAGUACUUGCAGUCUCUGCUGGACCAAAUUGAAAAACUGAAGGGAAUUUCUCUUCCUGUUAAAUGUGCUUGCGGAGAAGAAUACAAGGUCUGUGUGGACCUUUGUGUGCGACAAAACAUGAACUAAGUGUUUGAACCUUGGAGAACUUGGAAGGAUUAGGAAAGAAUCAAUAGUGGACUAGCUAGAAUAUGUGACUUUCUAUACAGUUGCAGGAAGGAGAAUGUGCAUACCACCAUCCUUGGCAUGUUUCGUCCAUAACAACUAACUCCACGCCGUCGCCUAACCCUAAG